rnacentral:rRNA from 1 species
CCUACGGGAGGCAGCAGUGGGGAAUUUUGGACAAUGGGCGCAAGCCUGAUCCAGCUAUUCCGCGUGUGGGAAGACGGCCUUCGGGUUGUAAACCACUUUUGUUGAGAACGAAAAGUCUAUUGAUAAUACCGAUAGAUGAUGACGGUACUCUAAGAAUAAGCACCGGCUAACUACGUGCCAGCAGCCGCGGUAAUACGUGGGGUGCGUGCGUUAAUCGGAAUUACUGGGCGGAAAGGGUGUGCAGGCGGUUUUGCAAGAUUGAUGUGAAGGCCCCGGGCUUAACCUGGGAAAGCCAUACAUGACUGCAAGACUAGAGUGCGUCAGAGGGGGGUGGAAUUCCAAGUGUAGCAGUGAAAUGCGUAGAUAUUUGGAAGAACACCGAUGGCGAAGGCAGCCCCCUGGGACGCAACUGACGCUCAUACACGAAAGCGUGGGGAGCAAACAGGAUUAGAUACCCGAGUAGUC